CCAGGUGAAAGCAAUGAUCCCUUAUUGAUGUCACUUGUUAAAUCCACUUCAAUCAGUGUCGAUCAAGGGGAGGAGACAGUCCUUUAUGCUGAAAAUGAACAUAGAAGGCUGUUGUAUAAAACACCAUUCUCCGGAAUACAUCUUCAAACUAAGGGCAACCAUGGCAUCCAUGACAGAGAGGGAGAAGCAUUCAUCCAUGUAUUCAUUUGAGCCUUGGGGGAUCCGGUGCCUUGGGUGUUCCUGUAACACAAGCUCUCCACGUUACUCAAUAACCACAAUGGAAUCUCACACCGGAACCUAGCUUCGUAAUCUGACUUCGGAGUUUGCCAUCGGAAUGUCUUCCUCCUCCUUUCCCUGGGUCCUAAGAAGGAAUGUCUCUCUGACUGACGGGGGGAUAAAACACCCUUGCUCCCUCUUUCCUCUCUCCUCACAACGUAUCCUUUCCUCACCCCCUCUCCCACCCUCUCACCUCCCCUCUACAUACCCCUUCUUCCCUCCUCUCCAGCCCCCAGUCAGUUGUCAGUCAACUUAAAGUUUAUGGAAAAUAUGGCCAAACACCAACAUGUUUUCAAUCAAGUUAAAAAUGUAUUUAAUACAUGCCACAAUAAAUUCCAACUGUGUCUGUAAUGAGUAAUGUUUUACAUAUUUACCUUCUGAAAUUAUGCAUUUGGUGUACAGC
rnacentral:lncRNA from 1 species